UACGGAGGUCCCAAGCGUUGUUCGGAUUCACUGGGCGUAAAGGGUGCGUAGGCGGUCGGGUAAGUCUGAUGUGAAAUCUCACAGCUUAACUGUGAAACUGCAUUGGAUACUAUCCGGCUAGAGGAAUGGAGGGGAGACUGGAAUACUUGGUGUAGCAGUGAAAUGCGUAGAUAUCAAGUGGAACACCAGUGGCGAAGGCGAGUCUCUGGACAUUUCCUGACGCUGAGGCACGAAAGCCAGGGGGGCAAACGGG
rnacentral:rRNA from 1 species